GACGAACGCUGGCGGCGUGGAUUAGGCAUGCAAGUCGGACGGUAGGGCUUUAUCGUAAGAUAGAGUUUGAGAGUGGCGAACGGGUGAGUAACACGUAGGAAUCUACCCUUAAGACGGGGACAACCCAGGGAAACUUGGGCUAAUACCGGAUGAGAGUGCGAGAGAUUGCAUUUAAAAGGAUGGCGAAAGUUGUCGCUUAGGGAUGAGCCUGCGGUCUAUUAGUUAGUUGGUGAGGUAAGAGCUCACCAAGGCGAUGAUAGAUAGGCGGCCUUAACGGGUGGUCGCCCACACUGGGAUUGAGAUACGGCCCAGACUCCUACGGGAGGCAGCAGUGGGGAAUAUUGGGCAAUGGGCGAAAGCCUGACCCAGCAACGCCGCGUGAAGGAAGAAGGUCUUCGGAUUGUAAACUUCUGUCGUCAGGGACGAAAAAGGACGGUACCUGGCAAGAAAGCCCCGGCUAACUACGUG
rnacentral:rRNA from 1 species